rnacentral:rRNA from 1 species
UUAGAUCAGAAGCGAGAAUGUUGACAUGAGUAGCGACAAACAGGGUGAGAAACCCUGUCGCCGAAAGUCCAAGGGUUCCUGCUUAAAGCUAAUCUGAGCAGGGUAAGCCGGCCCCUAAGGCGAGGCCGAAAGGCGUAGUCGAUGGGAACCAGGUUAAUAUUCCUGGGCCAGUGGGAUGUGACGGAUCGCAGAUGUAGUUUGCCCUUAUCGGAUUGGGUGGGCUGCUGAGCGGUUCCAGGAAAUAGCCCCACAUCAGACCGUACCCUAAACCGACACAGGUGGACUGGUAGAGUAUACCAAGGCGCUUGAGAGAACCACGUUAAAGGAACUCGGCAAAAUGCCUCCGUAAGUUCGCGAGAAGGAGGCCCCAUAUGUACGCAAGUAUGUGUGGGGGGCACAAACUAGGGGGUGGCGACUGUUUACUUAAAACACAGGGCUGCGCGAAGCCGUAAGGCGACGUAUACAGUCUGACGCCUGCCCGGUGCUGGAAGAUUAAGAGGAGGGGUGCAAGCUCUGAAUUGAAGUCCCAGUAAACGGCGGCCGUAACGAUAACGGUCCUAAGGUAGCGAAAUUCCUUGUCGGGUAAGUUCCGACCUGCACGAAUGGCGUAACGAUCUCCCCGCUGUCUCUAACGUGGACUCAGCGAAAUUGAACUGUGUGUCAAGAUGCACACUACCCGCGGUUAGACGGAAAGACCCCAUGAACCUUUACUCCAGCUUUGCACUGGUAUCAGGAUUGUGAUGUGCAGGAUAGGUGGUAGGCAUUGAAGCGGGGACGCCAGUCUUCGUGGAGCCUCCCUUGAGAUACCACCCUUCGCCAUCUUGAUAUCUAACCGCGGCCCGUUAUCCGGGUCCGGGACCCUGCAUGGUGGGGAGUUUGACUGGGGCGGUCGCCUCCCAAACAGUAACGGAGGCGCGCGAUGGUUGGCUCAGACCGGUCGGAAAUCGGUCGUUGAGUGCAAUGGCAGAAGCCAGCCUGACUGCAAGACUGACAAGUCGAGCAGAGACGAAAGUCGGUCAUAGUGAUCCGGUGGUCCCAAGUGGGAGGGCCAUCGCUCAACGGAUAAAAGGUACUCUGGGGAUAACAGGCUGAUGAUGCCCAAGAGUCCAUAUCGACGGCAUCGUUUGGCACCUCGAUGUGGGCUCAUCUCAUCCUGGGGCUGGAGCAGGUCCCAAGGGUAUGGCUGUUCGCCAUUUAAAGAGGUACGUGAGCUGGGUUUAGAACGUCGUGAGACAGUUCGGUCCCUAUCUGCCGUGGGUGCAGGAGACUUGAGAAGAGUUGACCCUAGUACGAGAGGACCGGGUUGAACGAACCACUGGUGGACCAGUUAUCGUGCCAACGGUAGUGCUGGGUAGCUAUGUUCGGACAGGAUAACCGCUGAAGGCAUCUAAGCGGGAAGCCCCCUUCAAAACAAGGUCUCCCUUGAGGGCCGUGGAAGACGACCACGUCGAUAGGCCAGAGGUGUAAGUGCAGCAAUGCAUUCAGCUGACUGGUACUAAUUGCUCAAAA